UCCAGUAUCUAAGAACUAGAAGGAAAGCCUA
rnacentral:piRNA from 1 species